rnacentral:rRNA from 1 species
ACAUGCAAGUCGAGGGGCAGCAUUCGGGUAGCAAUACCUGAGAUGGCGACCGGCGCACGGGUGCGUAACGCGUAUGCAACCUACCCAUAACAGGGGCAUAACACUGAGAAAUUGGUACUAAUUCCCCAUAACAUUCGAAGAGGCAUCUUUUCGGGUUGAAAACUCCGGUGGUUAUGGAUGGGCAUGCGUUGUAUUAGCUGGUUGGUGAGGUAACGGCUCACCAAGGCGACGAUACAUAGGGGGACUGAGAGGUUAACCCCCCACAUUGGUACUGAGACACGGACCAAACUCCUACGGGAGGCAGCAGUGAGGAAUAUUGGUCAAUGGACGCAAGUCUGAACCAGCCAUGCCGCGUGCAGGAAGACGGCUCUAUGAGUUGUAAACUGCUUUUGUACGAGGGUAAACUCAGAUACGUGUAUCUGGCUGAAAGUAUCGUACGAAUAAGGAUCGGCUAACUCCGUGCCAGCAGCCGCGGUAAUACGGAGGAUUCAAGCGUUAUCCGGAUUUAUUGGGUUUAAAGGGUGCGUAGGCGGUCUGAUAAGUUAGAGGUGAAAUCCCGGGGCUUAACUCCGGAAUUGCCUCUGAUACUGUUGGGCUAGAGAGUAGUUGCGGUAGGCGGAAUGUAUGGUGUAGCGGUGAAAUGCUUAGAGAUCAUACAGAACACCGAUUGCGAAGGCAGCUUACCAAACUAUAUCUGACGUUGAGGCACGAAAGCGUGGGGAGCAAACAGGAUUAGAUACCCUGGUAGUCCACGCAGUAAACGAUGAUAACUCGCUGUCGGCGAUACACAGUCGGUGGCUAAGCGAAAGCGAUAAGUUAUCCACCUGGGGAGUACGUUCGCAAGAAUGAAACUCAAAGGAAUUGACGGGGGCCCGCAC